rnacentral:lncRNA from 1 species
GGCAGCCAUUAAACGAAAACCGGGGCAUCGUCAACACGGAAGGAAUUAAAGGUCCCUAGAGAGUAGUGAAGCCAGGGAAGAGGAUCAAAGGCUGAGUCCUGAGGCAAGCUCAUGUUUCAAGAUCAGACAAAUUCUAAGGAACCAGCAGCCAACUGAAGAAAGUAUCUUCAGGGAAAAGAACACUAGUGAGGGGUUAAGAUGAGGAUCAGGAACCGACCAGGCAACACUUCUUCCUGAGGACCCAGGCCCUGAAGGUGCAGCCACUAUCAGAUUUGACCACAUGGAACAAACAUGAGGAUGAAGCCAGUCUACUGAGGAGCUGAACAGGAAGAAAGGGAGAGCUGGAGUCUCUGAUGGCACAAGUCCUGAACUGCCUAUCUGUGAGUUCUAGUUACAUGAGCCAAAUAAACUUCUGGUUCUGCCA